rnacentral:rRNA from 1 species
UGCAGUCGAACGAGAAAGUGGAGCAAUCCAUGAGUAAAGUGGCGCACGGGUGAGUAACACGUGACUAACCUACCCUUGAGUGGGGGAUAANUGAGGGAAACCUUAGCUAAUACCGCAUAAUACCUACGGGUCAAAGGAGCAAUUCGCUUAAGGAGGGGGUCGCGGCCGAUUAGUUAGUUGGCAGGGUAAUGGCCUACCAAGACGAUGAUCGGUAUCCGGCCUGAGAGGGCGCACGGACACACUGGAACUGAAACACGGUCCAGACUCCUACGGGAGGCAGCAGUGGGGAAUUUUGCGCAAUGGGGGAAACCCUGACGCAGCAACGCCGCGUGGAGGAUGAAGUCCUUCCCGACGUAAACUCCUUUCGAUCGGGACGAUUAUGACGGUACCGGAAGAAGAAGCCCCGGCUAACUUCGUGCC